GAUGAACGCUGGCGGCGUGCCUAAUACAUGCAAGUCGAGCGAACGGACGAGAAGCUUUCUUUUCUGAUGUUAGCGGCGGACGGGUGAGUAACACGUGGAUAACCUACCUAUAAGACUGGGAUAACUUCGGGAAACCGUAGCUAAUACCGGAUAAUAUUUUGAACCGCAUGGUUCAAAAGUGAAAGACGGUCUUGCUGUCACUUAUAGAUGGAUCCGCGCUGCAUUAGCUAGUUGGUAAGGUAACGGCUUACCAAGGCAACGAUGCAUAGCCGACCUGAGAGGGUGAUCGGCCACACUGGAACUGAGACACGGUCCAGACUCCUACGGGAGGCAGCAGUAGGGAAUCUUCCGCAAUGGGCGAAAGCCUGACGGAGCAACGCCGCGUGAGUGAUGAAGGUCUUCGGAUCGUAAAACUCUGUUAUUAGGGAAGAACAUAUGUGUAAGUAACUGUGCACAUCUUGACGGUACCUAAUCAGAAAGCCACGGCUAACUACGUG
rnacentral:rRNA from 1 species